rnacentral:rRNA from 1 species
UAUGGGUGGUGGUUCCGGGGGAGGCAUAGGCGAUGACAACGGUGGAGGCCUUGGAGGUGGCAACGGUGUAGGUGGAGGGAAGGGCGGUGGUUUUGGAGGUGGCGGUGGAAGCGGUGGUGGAUUUGGUGCUGGAGUCGGAUCUGGUGCUGGAAUGGGAGGCGGCUUUGGAGGCGGUGGAGGAAAAGGCGGUGGUUUUGGAGGUGGCAGUGGUGGUGGAUUUGGUGCUGGAGCAGGUUCUGGUGUUGGAAUGGGUGGCGGCUUCGGAGGCGGUGGUGGUGCAGGCAUGGGAGCUGGUGUCGAAGGUGGCAUCGGUGCUGGUAGUGGUAGCGGUAUUGGUGGAGGUAGUGGAUUGGGCAAGGGCGUUGGUGCUGGAGGCGGCAUCGGAGCUGGCAGUGGCAGCGGUGUUGGUGUAGGUAGUGGAUUGGGCAAGGGUGUUGAUGCUGGAGGAGGGAUUGAAGUCGGCGGAGGUGCUGGAGCCGGAAAGGGCCUUGCCACUAGAGGCGGUCUUGGAGCUGGCCGUGGCACUAGUGGAGAUGGUAGAAUGGGCCACAAUGUUGGUGCUAAAGUUGGCGGUGGCGAGAGAAAACGUGGCGGAAAACACCACGGUGAAAGCAAUAAUGGCAGGAAAAAGAAGCAAGGGUGUUUAAACUGA